rnacentral:rRNA from 1 species
ACAGCAGUCGCCGCGGUAAAACCGGCAGCACGAGUGAUGACCGCUAUUAUUGGGCCUAAAGCGUCCGUAGCUGGCCACGCAAGUCCGUCGGGAAAUCCGCGCGCUUAACGCGCGGGCGUCCGGUGGAAACUGUGUGGCUUGGGACCGGAAGAUCCAGAGGGUACGUCCGGGGUAGGAGUGAAAUCCCGUAAUCCUGGACGGACCACCGGUGGCGAAAGCGCUCUGGAAAGACGGAUCCGACGGUGAGGGACGAAAGCUCGGGUCACGAACCGGAUUAGAUACCCCCGUAGUCCCUGUCUCUUAUA